GUCGAACGCUGGCGGCGUGCUUAACACAUGCAAGUCGAACGGACAGGCCUCUUUCGGGGGGUAAUCGAGUGGCGAACGGGUGAGUAACACGUGAGUAACCUGCCCAUCACUUUGGGAUUACUUCAGGAAACUGGGGCUAAUACCGGAUAGAAGCUCCUGCGGCAUGGUGGGGGUUGGAAAGUUUCGCCGUUGGGCGAUGGACUCGCGGCUUAUCAGCUCGUUGGUGGGGUACUGGCUUGCCAAGCCUUUGACGUGGAGCCGGCCUGAGAGGGUGACCGGCCACAUUGAAACUGGGAGACAGCCCAGACGCCAACGGUCGGCAGAAGUGGGGAAUGUGGGUCAAGGGGUAGGGGCGUGAUACUGCAACGACGAGGGCGGGAUGACGGCGUUCGGGUUGUGACCCGCUUACGCUCAAGACGACGCUUUGUGUGACGGUAAUGGGUGAAGAAGCCCCGGCUAACUACGUG
rnacentral:rRNA from 1 species